GCCGGGCACAGUGGCUCAUGCCUGUAGUCCCAGCUACUCGGGAGGCUGAGGUGGGAGGAUCGCUUGAGCCCAGGAGUUCUGGGCUGUAGUGCGCUAAUGCUGACUGGUUCGCUAAGUUUGGCAUCAAUAUGGUGACCUCCUGGGAGCAAGGGACCACCAGGUUGCCUAAGGAGGGGUGAAUCUGUCCAGGUCGGAAACGGAGCAGGUCAAAACUCGCAUGCUGAUGAGUAGUGUGAUAGCACCUGUGAAUAGCUACUGUACUCCAGAGCCUGGGCAACAUAGUGAGACCCUGUCUCUU
ensembl:misc_RNA Metazoa_SRP Metazoan signal recognition particle RNA